CCCCGGGGCGGCCGGGUCCCCGAACUCCAGAGGUCCCGGCCUCGCCGCCAACGCCCGGACCUGGCGUGUCUCCGGCGCCGUGAAAGGGGGGCAGCGAGGAAGGUCGCGGGGCAGGGAGCCGUGCUGGCAAACCUGGGGCGCACGGGGAGAAAGAGGUGCGCAGGUCUGAGAGCAGCGAGAACGAGAAGAUCGGUGACUGAACCAAGAGAGAGAGGCGAGCAAGGCCUGAGGGCCUAGAAUGUCCUGCAGUGUAGAGUUUGCUCCAUUCCAGAAGACAGCCAAAAAGGAGCUAAAGAAAAAAGAUGCCGAAACUAAAAGGGGUGACAAUGAUCCAGAAUUUAAGAAGUUGUUAGAAAUUUACUGCAUGGAGGAAGAGAAAACUGGUACCAAUCCCAAAACUCUUCUGGGAGAUGUAGUGGCAAAGACAGAACUUACUAGUCUGUUGUGCCCAUUUCUUCCUUUUACUUCAUUAAGUGUGUUUCUAUAGGGGAUCUCCAUAGGGUUCCCUCACCAUCCUUGGGAGGGUUGUUUCUGCUUUCAGAGAGAGAGAAGUGGCCCGUGACUCCCAGAUAACCUACCAGAAGAAGCAGACACGCACACACAGUCUGGCACAGGCGCUGUCCACCAAGGAGGUUUUUGAGAGAAAGCUCUCUAAGCAAGUCCAGACACGGGGGAGGGGAGAGGAGGGAGGCAUUCACAAACAAAACCGAACCAAACCCUCGGUAGUUGAUACAAAUACUACUUCGGUGCAGUAUUUCUUAAAAAAUCUAAAUGUAAAUUUUAAAAAAAUAUGAUGAACAAAGUACAUAUUUUGUGAGCAUGUUAAAUGAAGACAGGAUCUGGCCAUCUCCCGUGGCCAGCCCGUGAGUGUUGACUCUCGAGGCUCCAGCCUGGGAAGGGCCUGUCUGAGGUGGGUCUGUCACCUGCACUGGCAUCUUUUCCGGGCAUAACCCACAAGUAAAGCUGCUCGGCCCCACCCGGCACCCACUGAGACACAGUCUGCGAUUACCAGACAGAUAGAUACCCAAGGGGUACUGUAUAAGCUGUGUGGGGCUAUCUCACCUUCCCCUGUCCCUACAAGACUAGCUGAUGAGCCGGUAGAAGAAUUCUACACCCACAUGUAGAAGGAUUUUACUAAUAGAAUAAGACAAUGUUCGUUGGCUGAUGAACAACACAUAGGGUUGGCAGGCACCGGAAAAGCACAAAAGCAGGCUGAGGCAUUGGGGAGGACUUGUUCCAGUGUGAACCCAGUAAAGGUUUACACUUUAGACAACAGUUGUUUCCUCAACAAGUGAGCCUCAAAACUUUUGCUCCUAUAUUUCCUAAUUUUCAUAUUUUAAUUUCACAUUAUUUUAUACUAAUGUAUAGGAGACUGUUCUGUGUGGCAUGGGCCCAGCUCCCACUGGGAGAUGCACAGGACCCACACCCACGGAUAGGUUCUCCCAAUGGGAGAUCAGGCCUGCUAUGUACCUAGGCCGCUUGGAGUCUUGCUUUUUGCUAAAACCCCCCUCACCCAGAUUUGUGGCAAACAUUUACUGCAAAGUAGCUCCCUAAAAUCCAUACUAAACCUUCCAAGAACUAGUGUAACUGGUUCAACCACUUUUGCCUUUUCAUUUGCAAAUAUCCCUCUUCUGUGAUGCAUUAGCAACAUUAGCUCCUUUGUGGUCUGUAAAAGGUAAUCACCUAAAGCAACCUGUGCAUAGUAAAUGAGGACCAUCAUGUAAUGUGCUGAAAAAGUCAG